UUGGCUUUCAUCGUCUUGUGAUCGGAUAUAGCUAUUACAUUACCAAUGUUAUUUCUGAUAAAAGAUUUCAUGGAGUGAAUCAAGGAAAAGUUAUCCAAGGAUUUCCUGUAACUUUGAGUACAUUUGUAUUUGUGUUAGUGUUACAGAUGGUACAGUACUGGGACGCGACGUGUUUCACUUGCGGAUUUGUGCUUGUCCGACACGAGAUUUAAAGACAGACGAACAAGCUAACUCUAAGAAGAGAAGAUUAAAACGCAAAAGAUAUUCAACUGAGACUCAGAUCGCAAAAAUACCAAAACUAGUUGACCCAGAGCCUCAUGUGUCCAACUUAAAUGAAGUUUACAACAUUAAGGUAGUUGGACGUCAGUUGUACUUGUUCAUGAUGAAGAUCAUGCAGUUUUACUCCAGCACCCACCUGAACAUUCCUGACGCUCCAUGUCAACAAAACGAAAACACGAUGGUACACCAAGAGCAGGAUGUGCUCAUGAGAAACAUGUAUUCUAAUAAUCUGAAGAAGCUCAAAGAAAAGCUGAAGAACUUGAGAGAAGAAAGCAAACAGGGGAGUGAGCAGAAAAGCAUCGAAAUUAUAGAAAUAGAAAGCCCAGAAAACUCAGAAAAAGAAAAACAGGGAAGCCCAGAAAAUACAGAAAAAGGAAACACUAAAAAAAAGAAAACAAUCCUAUAGAAGAACCACUAAACCUAAUCAAAGACAACAACCCUAUAGAAGAGCCACUAAACCUAAUCAAAGAUAACAAACCUGUAUCAUUACGUACGGUGAAAAGAAACAAACCAUAUCGUCACAUUCCAUUUGUACAUGUCACAAGGGAAC